CCUACGGGGGGCAGUAGUGGGGAAUAUUGGACAAUGGGCGAAAGCCUGAUCCAGCCAUGCCGCGUGUGUGAAGAAGGCCUUCGGGUUGUAAAGCACUUUCAGUGGGGAAGAAAGCCUUGGGGCUAAUACCCUCGAGGAAGGACAUCACCCACAGAAGAAGCACCGGCUAACUCCGUGCCAGCAGCCGCGGUAAUACGGAGGGUGCGAGCGUUAAUCGGAAUUACUGGGCGUAAAGCGCGCGUAGGCGGUCUGAUAAGCCGGUUGUGAAAGCCCCGGGCUCAACCUGGGAACGGCAUCCGGAACUGUCAGGCUAGAGUGCAGGAGAGGAAGGUAGAAUUCCCGGUGUAGCGGUGAAAUGCGUAGAGAUCGGGAGGAAUACCAGUGGCGAAGGCGGCCUUCUGGACUGACACUGACGCUGAGGUGCGAAAGCGUGGGUAGCAAACAGGAUUAGAUACCCGUGUAGU
rnacentral:rRNA from 1 species